rnacentral:rRNA from 1 species
GACAGAGGGUGCAAACGUUGCUCGGAAUUACUGGGCGUAAAGCGCGUGUAGGUGGUUCCGCGAGUCAGGUGUGAAAGCCCGGGGCUCAACCCCGGAAGUGCACUUGAUACUACGGAGCUGGAGUCUUGAAGAGGAGAGCGGAAUUCCCGGUGAUAGAGGUGAAAUGCGUAGAGAUCGGGAGGAACAUCUGUGGCGAAGGCGGCCAUCUGGACCAGCACUGACACUGAGGCACGAAAGCGUGGGGAGCAAACAGG